UUUAAGAUUGUUUUUAAUGAAAUUCCAGAGACUGGUUGGUUAAUGUCUUUUUCUAAUAAGAAUGUUUGUUGAAAGUUUAAUGCAGUUUGGUGUAGUUGUGUUAGGUUACAUUUAUUCCAGAGUAAGAGUUUUCUCUUGGGUUUUGAAUUGGCUACUGCUUUUAUCUGACUGUGUAUUUUUAUGAUCUAAUGGUCUGAUAGACCAGGGAUAAUAUUAUAAUCAACUACUAAUCCAGGUCUGUUGGUUAAGAAGAGAUCUAAUGUGUUGUUUAAUCUAGUUGUCUUUUUAAUGAUUUGAUCUAAACUUAGGUUGUGUAAAGUUUCUAUGAAAAGCUC